AAGCUGUGAUGAUUUUCCACUUCAGGUCCGUGUUUCUGAACUCUGAUUAUCAUGGAAGUUCUGAGUUA
ensembl:snoRNA SNORD18 Small nucleolar RNA SNORD18